rnacentral:rRNA from 1 species
AACCUCCGCAAUGUGAGAAAUCGCGACGGGGGGAUCCCAAGUGCCAUUCUUAACGGGAUGGCUUUUCAUUAGUGUAAAGAGCUUUUGGAAUAAGAGCUGGGCAAGACCGGUGCCAGCCGCCGCGGUAACACCGGCAGCUCUAGUGGUAACAAUUUUUAUUGGGCCUAAAGCGUCCGUAGCCGGUUUAAUAAGUCUCUGGUGAAAUCCUGUAGCUUAACUGUGGGAAUUGCUGGAGAUACUAUUAGACUUGAGACCGGGAGAGGUUAGAGGUACUCCCAGGGUAGAGGUGAAGUUCUGUAAUCCUGGGAGGACCGCCUGUUGCGAAGGCGUCUAACUGGAACGGUUCUGACGGUGAGGGACGAAAGUUAGGGGCGCGAACCGGAUUAGAUACCCGGGUAGUCCUAACUGUAAACGAUGCGGACUUGGUGUUGGGGUGGCUUUGAGCUGUCUCAGUGCCGAAGGGAAGCUGUUAAGUCCGCCGCCUGGGAAGUACGGUCGCAAGACUGAAACUUAAAGGAAUU